rnacentral:rRNA from 1 species
UACGUGGGGUGCAAGCGUUAUCCGGAAUUAUUGGGCGUAAAGAGAUGCGUAGGUGGUCGGUAAAGUUUUUGGUGAAAUCCCCAGGCUCAACCUGGGAACUGCCAAGAAUACUCAUCGACUUUGAGGGGAUCAGGGGGUGCUGGAACUCGUGGUGUAGUAGUAAAAUGCGUUGAUAUCACGAGGAACACCAAAGGCGAAGGCAGGCACCUGGGAUUCUCCUGACACUAAGGCUCGAAAGCGUGGGGAGCGAAACGG